rnacentral:sRNA from 1 species
CUGGAGGUUGAGAGGGACAAUCUGGCACAGGACCUGGCCACUGUGAGGCAGAAGUGAGGAGGGGAUGGGGAAGGGGGGCCUUGUGAGCAGAAGGGGCUGAAUCCCCAAGAGGGAGUGCCCGAGAAGUCUCAGGCAGGGGCCGAACCUCCCUGCUCCCUGGGCCUCCCUACCUCUUGAUGGGGCACUAUCCUUGCCCCCCAACAUGAUGGGAGGGACCAGAAACAGGCCCAGGGCCCCGGGGAUCUGAUGCCCGCAUGCCUUCUGCCAGGAGUCCAGGGUCCCCUCAGCACCUCCCUACUGGGGAAAGCAGUGCAGGAGCAGCUGGGCCCCUGUGUUUCAUUCAUGGCUGGGCUUUGUGACUGUGGGCAGUGAGCUCACCUAUUCUGCGCCUGUGUCCAUAUAAAGGAGGAGUUGGAAGCGGAGAAGGUUGAUGUCCAUGAGGGAGAUUGGAUUCUGGGGUGAAGGAAGUGAGGGAAAGAGCAGGCAGGUCUGGGCGCAAAGCACAGGUGACUGCCUGCCACCAGCUUGUGACCCCCAUCAAGUUACUUUGACUUGCACAGCUGUGAAGCGGUGCUCAUAAUAAAAUUCAUUUCAAAAGGUGGUUACCUGGGAUCAGAGGAAUGCCCAGGGGCAUGGCGCUUCGCUGAGCUGACAGGACAUGCAUGUGUGCCUUCAAGUGCAGGAGGACAUGUGCGUGUGUGUGUGUGUGUGUGUGUGCAACAGUGAGUGUAUGCUUGUGGAUGCGCCUGUGUGAGCAGAAGCAGGUGCACCAACCCUGAUAAGGCACCUUAGUAAUGAGUUAAGGCAAAAGCCCACAUCUGCUCAUCCUCCAGACAAGUCCUCUGUCUAAGGCCCCCCAACCCUUAAUCCUCCUGCUGCUCUACUGGUCCUGGGUGGGGGUGGUCUCUGUGACAGCUGCCUCAAGGGAGACUGAGGCAGGUAUCCAAGUGUCCUCAGAAGAGCCUGGACCCAGGAAUGUGUCCCCCCACUCCAGGCUCCAGGAUGAAACCAACCUGAGGCUGGAAGCCGAGAACAACCUGGCUGCCUAUAGACAGGAAGCAGAUGAAGCCACCCUGGCCCGUCUGGAUCUGGAGAGGAAGAUUGAGUCGCUGGAGGAGGAGAUCCGGUUCUUGAGGAAGAUCCACGAGGAGGAGGUUCGGGAACUCCAGGAGCAGCUGGCCCGACAGCAGGUCCAUGUGGAGCUUGACGUGGCCAAGCCAGACCUCACCGCAGCCCUGAAAGAGAUCCGCACGCAGUACGAGGCAAUGGCGUCCAGCAACAUGCAUGAAGCCGAGGAGUGGUACCGCUCCAAGUUUGCAGACCUGACAGACGCUGCUGCCCGCAACGCGGAGCUGCUCCGCCAGGCCAAGCACGAAGCCAACGACUACCGGCGUCAGUUGCAGUCCUUGACCUGCGACCUGGAGUCUCUGCGCGGCACGAACGAGUCCCUGGAGAGGCAGAUGCGCGAGCAGGAGGAGCGCCACGUGCGGGAGGCGGCCAGUUAUCAGGAGGCGCUGGCGCGGCUGGAGGAAGAGGGGCAGAGCCUCAAGGACGAGAUGGCCCGCCACUUGCAGGAGUACCAGGACCUGCUCAAUGUCAAGCUGGCCCUGGACAUCGAGAUCGCCACCUACAGGAAGCUGCUAGAGGGCGAGGAGAACCGGAUCACCAUUCCCGUGCAGACC